rnacentral:rRNA from 1 species
AUGGCGGCGCUCAAAAAUGCGUACAUCAAUGGCGAUGUGAUCAUCGACGUAUUGGAGGACCUUGAUACUAGCGCUGCGGCCCUGAAUGCCACCACCGCCGGCAUGCUGGCGCAUGGCGACGUUGAGGGAGGUGUCCACGUUGCGAGGGUGCUGGCCCAAGGCAAGGUCGAGCAAGGUGUCGGCGAUACCGGCAUGCUAGCGCCCAUAGAGGAGGAGGUCCACGGCACCGUGGCCGGGCUCGCCAGUGCUACCGCCAGCGGCGUGCUGGCACCGGGCGACGCCAUCGCCGCUGGAGUCACCGGCGUAGUGGCGGCGCAGGGCAACGUCAAGGAAGAGCUCCGCUGCACCGGAGACGGGGCUCUCGCUCUGAAGCCUGAAGGUGGCCGCUCUCGGCGCUCUCGCUGA